CCUGACCUGAGAGGCGUUACAGAUGUGACUGCUGCGUCACAUGUGUGUCAUUAGGUGGGCAGAGAGAAGAGGUUUGUCUACGUCCAGUGCUCCGACCUGGGAGCCAUUAGGUGAUUGAUAGUCUGACACU
rnacentral:snoRNA from 1 species